rnacentral:rRNA from 1 species
CCUACGGGGGGCAGCAGUGGGGGAUAUUGGACAAUGGGGGAAACCCUGAUCCAGCGACGCCGCGUGAGUGAAGAAGUAUUUCGGUAUGUAAAGCUCUGUCAGCAGGGAAGAAAGAAAUGACGGUACCGGACCAAGAAGCCCAGGCUAACUACGUGCCAGCAGCCGCGGUAAUACGUAGGGGGCAAGGGUUAGCCGGAAUUACUGGGUGUAAAGGGAGCGUAGCCGGUGAGGGAAGUCUGGAGUGAAAGGCGGGGGCCCAACCCCCGGACUGCUCUGGAAACUGUGUAACUUGAGUGCAGGAGAGGUAAGCGGAAUUCCUAGUGUAGCGGUUAAAUGCGUAGAUAUUAGGAGGAACACCAGUGGCGAAGGCGGCUUACUGGACUGUAACUGACGUUGAGGCUC